rnacentral:rRNA from 1 species
GACGAACGCUGGCGGCGUGCCUAAUACAUGCAAGUAGAACGCUGAAGAGAGGAGCUUACUCUUCUUGGAUGAGUUGCGAACGGGUGAGUAACGCGUAGGUAACCUGCCUUGUAGCGGGGGAUAACUAUUGGAAACGAUAGCUAAUACCGCAUAACAACGGAUGACACAUGUCAUUUAUUUGAAAGGGGCAAUUGCUCCACUACAAGAUGGACCUGCGUUGUAUUAGCUAGUAGGUGAGGUAAUGGCUCACCUAGGCGACGAUACAUAGCCGACCUGAGAGGGUGAUCGGCCACACUGGGACUGAGACACGGCCCAGACUCCUACGGGAGGCAGCAGUAGGGAAUCUUCGGCAAUGGGGGCAACCCUGACCGAGCAACGCCGCGUGAGUGAAGAAGGUUUUCGGAUCGUAAAGCUCUGUUGUAAGUCAAGAACGGGUGUGAGAGUGGAAAGUUCACACUGUGACGGUAGCUUACCAGAAAGGGACGGCUAACUACGU